UGCACCGUGGUUGUCGUCCCUGCCC
rnacentral:piRNA from 1 species